CCUACGGGAGGCAGCAGUGAGGAAUCUUGCGCAAUGGGGGCAACCCUGACGCAGCAACGCCGCGUGAGUGAGGAAGGUCUUCGGAUCGUAAAGCUCUGUCGGAUGGAAAGAACCACAUGGGGGUUAAUACCCCUCAUGUCUGACGGUACCAUCAAAGGAAGCACCGGCUAACUCCGUGCCAGCAGCCGCGGUAAUACGGGGGGUGCAAGCGUUGUUCGGAAUUAUUGGGCGUAAAGAGCGUGUAGGCGGCAGGAUGUGUCAGAUGUGAAAGCCCUGGGCUUAACCCAGGAAGUGCAUUUGAAACUAUCCAGCUUGAGUAGGGGAGAGGGAAGUGGAAUUCCUGGUGUAGAGGUGAAAUUCGUAGAUAUCAGGAGGAACACCGGUGGCGAAGGCGACUUCCUGGCCCUAUACUGACGCUGAGACGCGAGAGCGUGGGUAGCAAACAGGAUUAGAUACCCUGGUAGUCCACGCCGUAAACGAUGUUCACUAGGUGUUGGGGGUAUUGACCCCCUCAGUGCCGGAGCUAACGCGUUAAGUGAACCGCCUGGGGAGUACGGUCGCAAGACUAAAACUCAAAGGAAUUGACGGGGGCCCGCACAAGCGGUGGAGCAUGUGGUUUAAUUCGAUGCAACGCGAAGAACCUUACCUGGGCUUGACAUCCACGGAAUCUCCUGGAAACAGGGGAGUGCCCUUCGGGGAGCUAUGAGAAGGGCGAAUUCCACCCCUUUGGCGG
rnacentral:rRNA from 1 species